rnacentral:rRNA from 1 species
CCUACGGGAGGCAGCAGUGAGGAAUAUUGGACAAUGGGCGCAAGCCUGAUCCAGCCAUGCCGCGUGCAGGAAGAAGCAUCUAUGGUGUGUAAACUGCUUUUGUACAGGAAGAAACACUCCCUCGUGAGGGAGCUUGACGGUACUGUAAGAAUAAGGACCGGCUAACUCCGUGCCAGCAGCCGCGGUAAUACGGAGGGUCCGAGCGUUAUCCGGAAUCAUUGGGUUUAAAAGGGUCCGUAGGCGGUUUAAUAAGUCAGUGGUGAAAUCUGGUCGCUCAACGAUCAAACGGCCAUUGAUACUGUUAGACUUGAAUUAUAAGGAAGUAAACUAGAAUAUGUAGUGUAGCGGUGAAAUGCUUAGAUAUUACAUGGAAUACCAAUUGCGAAGGCAGGUUACUACUUAUGGAUUGACGCUGAUGGACGAAAGCGUGGGGAGCGAACAGGAUUAGAUACCCUGGUAGUCCACGCCGUAAACGAUGGAUACUAGCUGUUCGGAGNAUACUGAGUGGNGUAGAGAAAGUAGAGUAAGUAAGUACCACCGUACGGGGAGGGUAACGGUUCGUCGAAGAAAGUAAGUUAAAAGUUAAAAGUUAAGUUAAGUUAGGUUACGGCGUUGAGAGAGACCGAACGGACGACGAACGAAGGGAAGGAGGAG